GUACACUCUUAACAUUCACAGACCGCAC
rnacentral:piRNA from 1 species